AUACAGGUCACUUGGGGAUCUUGUUAAAAUGCAGUUUCUGAUUCAGUAGGUCUGGGGUGGGACCUGAGAAUCUGUAUUUCUAACAAACUCCCAGGGGAUGCUGUU
rnacentral:pre_miRNA from 1 species